UACGGAGGGUGCAAACGUUGCUCGGAAUCAUUGGGCGUAAAGCGCGCGUAGGCGGCUACUUAAGUCGGAUGUGAAAGCCCUUGGCUCAACUGAGGAAGUGCACCCGAAACUGAGUGGCUUGAGUACUAAAGAGGGUCGCGGAAUUCCCGGUGUAGAGGUGAAAUUCGUAGAUAUCAGGAGGAACACCGGUGGCGAAGGCGGGUCUCUGGGCCGUAACUGACGCUGAGGAGCGAAAGCGUGGGGAGCGAACAGG
rnacentral:rRNA from 1 species